ACCGGGUACAGACGGACGCAAAGCCGCGAGGUGGAGCAAAUCCUAAAAAGCCGGUCUCAGUUCGGAUUGCAGGCUGCAAUUCGCCUGCAUGAAGUCGGAAUCGCUAGUAAUCGCAGGUCAGCAUACUGCGGUGAAUACGUUCCCGGGCCUU
rnacentral:rRNA from 1 species